AGUUGCAGCUAUAAGGGAAGCGGUUGAGGUGUGUACCAAGAACCUAGAGCUGGUUCCUCUAUAACAAGCCUGCAGUGUUCUAGUAUUCGAAUGAGUAUGGUUGGAAUCACGAGUCUAAUUCACGGAGAGCGUAGAGAUCGGUAUUGGCUGCAAUGGCGACUGGAAAGGCACUACCGAUAGUUCCUCUAUAACAAGCGUGCAGUGUUCUAGUAUCCGAAUGAGUGUGGUUGGAAUCACGGGUCUAAUUCACGGAGAGCGUAGAGAUUGGUAUUGGCUGCAAUGGCGACUGGAAAGGCACUACCGAUAGUUCCUCUAUAACAAGCGUGCAGUGUUCUAGUAUCCGAAUGAGUGUGGUUGGAAUCACGAGUCUAAUUCACGGAGAGCGUAGAGAUCGGUAUUGGCUGCAAUGGCGACUGGAAAGGCACUACCGAUAGUUCCUCUAUAAUAAGCCUGCAGUGUUCUAGUAUCCGAAUGAGUAUGGUUGAAAUCACGGGUCUAAUUCACGGAGAGCGUAGAGAUCGGUAUUGGCUGCGGUGGCGACUGGAAAGGCACUACCGAUAGUUCCUCUAUAAUAAGCCUGCAGUGUUCUAGUAUCCGAAUGAGUAUGGUUGGAAUCACGAGUCUAAUUCACGGAGAGCGUAGAGAUCGGUAUUGGCUGCAAUGGCGACUGGAAAGGCACUACCGAUAGUUCCUCUAUAACAAGCGUGCAGUGUUCUAGUAUCCGAAUGAGUAUGGUUGGAAUCACGAGUCUAAUUCACGGAGAGCGUAGAGAUCGGUAUUGGCUGCGGUGGCGACUGGAAAGGCACUACCGAUAGUUCCUCUAUAACAAGCGUGCAGUGUUCUAGUAUCCGAAUGAGUGUGGUUGGAAUCACGGGUCUAAUUCACGGAGAGCGUAGAGAUCGGUAUUGGCUGCAAUGGCGACUGGAAAGGCACUACCGAUAGUUCCUCUAUAAUAAGCCUGCAGUGUUCGUGUAUCCGAACGCGGCUAGUCCAAAUCACGAGUCCAGUUCACUAAAAAAACCGAACGGGACGCACCCCGCGGCUGGAAAAGACAAAGUUGGUGUUCAGAGAGGGCGCACUCUCUGCUCGGACGAACGCUGCGCUACCUGCAAAACUAGAGACGUAGUCUGUUGCUAUGGUGAGCAUUCACCGGAACGCUGACUCGAUGCUCACGGUACCGGUGCGUCUCAUUUCAACAAAGAGCACCGGUAUAGGGCUAGAGCAUACAACGGGCGGCAGCUGAGUAGGGGAUUAUGUUUCGGCAGCAGGUAGGCUCCGUGCACCCGAUAGCGCUCGGUUUGUUGUUUCGAUUACGCACACACACACACACACGCCACAGAAACGGUGCACUCUUGGCUGUGCUGGCGUUCAUCGGACCGCUAUGGACAUCACGCCAGCGGGCUGUUUGUUUGCGGUGCAGCGAAGAUAUCAGUGGACAGUGCACCCGCCCAUGAGCGAGCGAUACCAUGCAUGCGGGACAAACGACACAUCGAGGUGGCCCAUGGAAAAACAGGUCCAACGUAUUCGUUUCCUUGGGGCGGGGCGGUGCAUCGCACGCUCCGCGUUCGGAUACGAGGACUCUAUCGAGGCGCUGACCUCGACCACGGUGACUGCCGCUUCUUUCCCUCAAGUGUAUGGAGACUCUUCCCGUAUCAUCUGCGGGAAUGGAACCCCACCAAAGCUCCUUGCGCCCUGGAAAGCACCAAUGCCUUCAUCGGAGAGUGAUACUUUCACAGUACGUGCGGGGCAAGCAACGGGAUGCUGCAGCGUUCUGAACGCUAGGGAAAGCGUGAGCCAAAAUGACGCAACCUGGAAACCUGCUCCCGACUGAAGGUUCUAUUCUGCUGCGGUAGCAAGCUACCCUGAACAAGCAACUGGACACAAAGCGUGCUAGGGACGCAGCAAUGUCGGUCGAUGGCGGUUCAAGUUCCAGCAGUGGGACGCGAUGGGGAGCAGGUGCCCCUUCUCCAUGAGUGCCUUAACGGACGAUUCCCGUGUUCAAAAGCGGCGCGCACAUCAACAGGGGCUCAGCGCUGCCUCUGCUAGACCCGGCACCAGCAGUUGGCUGCUCUUUCACCAGUACACGAUACCGCUCUCAGGGAGUCUUGUAAAGUUUGCCGUGC
rnacentral:misc_RNA from 1 species